rnacentral:misc_RNA from 1 species
CCUUCCAAUUUGCCAUUAUGAUGGUUAGAUUCUAUUCAGCUAAAUUACCAAUAUUGUUUUAUCAUAUGUUAUUCUGCUUUCUAAAACUGAUGAUGUGGCCAUUUAAGGUGUUCAUGAAUGUUGGCAUUUUUAUCAGUUGCUUUAUGCAAGUGUGCAGUUUAUGGGUGUCUUGCCCUAACACUGUGGGGCUGUAAAUACUUCACUUAUGAACCUGACAAUUUCUUCCGGUGCUAUGGGCACCCUAUUCAUUUGAAUUAGAUAGUAUAUUUUGUUUAGAUUAAUCCUGAGGAAUCUCUAUUUAUGCUUCCUUUUACUUGGUUGGCUCCACUAGAUGCCAUAUUUAAUUCUGGUAAGUCUAAGCACGAUAUGUACUCAACUGCAGUUUCAUGAAAAUGAUAAGGUUUCACUUCAUGUUGAAAUUACCAACAUCCACAUAAUGUUGAAAAAUAUUCAUUCUCUUUGAUCUGAUCUGUUGAAAGAAACUAAACUAUAUUCCUCUAUGGUUGUUGUAUCAGGUUUUUAAACUAUAUGGUCAUAAUAAAAGUUGGGAUAAUGGUCUAAAGUAUCUUGAAUUUUGUGCGCCUUUUCAAUUGUAUUCUACUUUUUAAUUUGGUUCACAAGUUAUUGAUUUUGUUUCACUUUUACAUAAUUGGGUCUGGGGGUAUGCAUAUCGUAUCUUUUAAUGAAGAUUAAAGCCAAAUAUGGAUUUAACUUGUUGAUUUGAGAGAAGCAGGUGCCACCUAAGCUCUAAUAGCAAUCAAAUUGUGGCAUUUUGCAAAAUUCUCUUCGAAGUACUUUUUGAGAUCCAUAUUUUGAAAAAUAAUAUCAUUUAAUCGUUCUUAGGGGUUAAGGUGGGUCCAUUCCCCAAUCCUGUUGGAUACAGUUAAAAAGAAUAAUAACUUAUGAACCAAAUUGAUAUAAUGAAAAAUAUGGGAUACAAUUGAAAA